rnacentral:rRNA from 1 species
AGAGUUUGAUCAUGGCUCAGGAUGAACGCUGGCGGUCUGCUUAACACAUGCAAGUCGAACGGAAUCUUUCGGGAUUUAGUGGCGGACGGGUGAGUAACGCGUGAGAAUCUGCCUUCAGGUUCGGGACAACAGUUGGAAACGGCUGCUAAUACCGGAUGUGCCGAGAGGUGAAAGCUUAAGUGCCUGGAGAUGAGCUCGCGUCUGAUUAGCUAGUAGGAGUGGUAACGGCACCCCUAGGCGACGAUCAGUAGCUGGUCUGAGAGGAUGAUCAGCCACACUGGGACUGAGACACGGCCCAGACUCCUACGGGAGGCAGCAGUGGGGAAUUUUCCGCAAUGGGCGCAAGCCUGACGGAGCAAGACCGCGUGAGGGAAGAAGGUCUGUGGAUUGUAAACCUCUUUUGAUCGGGAAGAAGACAGUGACGGUACCGAUCGAAUCAGCU